CCUAUAGUCACGUCAUGUCACGUGAUUUUAUCAAACCCGGAAAUGCUCUUGAUUUUAUAGCUUAUUUCUUUAUAAACACAGCAAUGUGUUGUUUUAAAACCCAUAUAUUGUUACUUGGGCAAUGAGAAUACAGAUUAAAUACGAAUUUCAAAAAAAUAUUAACUUGACAUAUGCAUAUGGUUAACCCAUGUUAAAUAUCCACCAUUUAUUGUCUGUUCGUGUUAUCCAGUCACGGAGGCCAAAGCCAGACUUGGCCAAAAAGAUGGCAUAUUUACUCGAGCAGUGUCGGCUGAGGAACUUUAAAGACCACAUCUGUGCAGGUAAGGACUCAUAUCAGAAUAUAUAGUUUAUAUGAAGUAUUUUUGCCAGCUCUCAUUGUUGCAUCAAAUUGGCCACAGGCGGCUGUAAUAAAUUCCCAGAGAUAUUAACUGCUAAGAAAGUGCAUGUUUGAAGUUGAACACUAGAGGGUGCUACACUUUGGGGCAGAGAUGCCACUCCCUGACUUUGAUUGGUCUUCAAGUACAGGUGUGUGCAGUCCUUUGUUCUGCCUCACAAACAACUCAGUGCAAGGAAGAUACCAGAGAUGCUAUUGAGUGAACCAAGAGUGGAGCGAGAGGCUGGGGCCAUAACAAGGCGAAUCCAUCUUUGGUCUGCACUGCUCACAACUGGGGUCUAUCUGAUCUGAGAUAAGGAGCGGUGACAAAGGAGGAACCAGAGCCAAAUCGGGCCAACAUUUACCAGUCUGUAGUCGUCAACAGCUCCAAGGAGAUGAUGGCCUUCAGUGACUUCCCGCCUCCUGCCGAACUGCCCAAUAACUUGCACCACUCUGAGGUCCUGGGAUAUCUACGCCUGUACGCAAACUCCUGCCUCACAUUCAGUUCAAGUGCUGAAAGUGAGGAAGACCCCAGAUUCUGCAGAAACGGUGCAAUGGGAGGUAGACACAGAGAAACAAAAUGGAGAGAAGGGGACCCAUGUUUUUGA
rnacentral:lncRNA from 1 species